rnacentral:rRNA from 1 species
GACGAACCGUACGAACGUUAUUCGGAAUCACUGGGCUUAAAGGGUGCGUAGGCGGCGCUAAAAGUUGGGUGUGAAAUCCCUCGGCUUAACCGAGGAACUGCGCCCAAAACUGUAGUGCUUGAGGGAGACAGAGGUGAGCGGAACUUAGGGUGGAGCGGUGAAAUGCGUUGAUAUCCUAAGGAACACCCGUGGCGAAAGCGGCUCACUGGGUCUCUUCUGACGCUGAGGCACGAAAGCUAGGGUAGCGAACGGG